CUCUCUCUCUGUCAGGCUGUCGCUCACUCUUGCUAGUGGGUUCAUUUAGAACUGUCAACUGCAAUGCGAUGCGCCUUGUAUUUCUGUAAGCAGAGCAAAACUAAAGCACGUUGAGUGGGAUUAAACGAUAUUAUAGGGUAUUAGACAUUUAGGCCAAGUGAGACAAAACGCCGUAACGAAACAAGCAGCGGCUGUGGCAGCAGCAUCACCACCAGCAAAUGCCCAAGUCAUAGCGAAAAGGACGUAAUCCGAGUCGAGUGUCGAGUUGAUUCAAUUCGAGUCAAGUGGGUGAGACGCAUUUUGAGUGAGAGUUGAGGUUCAGGCACCGCUGCUGCAGUCGCUGUCGCCGUCACCGUUGCCGUCGCAGUCAACGUUGACUGUGGCGUCGCUGUCAUUAGUGAUUAAGUGCCCUGCAGCAAGUAAUUUUUCUUGCUUCAGCUCAACAGAGCAACGCAGACUCUCACACUUACACAAACAGCUGUUAAGCAGUCGCUGUUAACUUAACAGGGCUGGAAGCUUUUCAUUCGAACUGCUGAGAGAGUGAAUGCCAGAGAGAGCGAGCGUCAAAGAGCAAGUGAGCGUGAGAACGUUUAGCUGUGUGAGCUCACUCGCCUUCGGUUCUUUUUUGUCAGCGCUGAGCGCAGGAGUUUUGCUCGUAUUUUGCCCCCUAUGGGCAGCUCGGGCCAUUGGCAUAUUCCAGUUAAGCGCCAUCUGCAAUUUGUGGCACAGUCAGUGCCGUUUGGGGCCAUCAGCAAGAAGCAGGAUUGUAACGUCCAGCCAAAACCCAACACAGAAAUAAAAUCAAAUUGAAUACGAAAAUCAUAAUACAAAUUGCUGCUAUGUGACCUUCGCGUGUGGCUGUAAGUCCAAAAAGAAUGCAACAACAACAACAGCAGCAUCAGCAACAACAACUUCUACAGCAACAACAACAACAGCAG